rnacentral:rRNA from 1 species
AUUGAACGCUGGCGGCAGGCCUAACACAUGCAAGUCGAACGGUAACAGGGAUCAGCUUGCUGAUUCGCUGACGAGUGGCGGACGGGUGAGUAAUGUCUGGGAAACUGCCUGAUGGAGGGGGAUAACUACUGGAAACGGUAGCUAAUACCGCAUAACGUCGCAAGACCAAAGAGGGGGACCUUCGGGCCUCUUGCCAUCGGAUGUGCCCAGAUGGGAUUAGCUAGUAGGUGGGGUAACGGCUCACCUAGGCGACGAUCCCUAGCUGGUCUGAGGGGAUGACCAGCCACACUGGAACUGAGACACGGUCCAGACUCCUACGGGAGGCAGCAGUGGGGAAUAUUGCACAAUGGGCGCAAGCCUGAUGCAGCCAUGCCGCGUGUAUGAAGAAGGCCUUCGGGUUGUAAAGUACUUUCAGCGGGGAGGAAGGGAGUAAAGUUAAUACCUUUGCUCAUUGACGUUACCCGCAGAAGAAGCACCGGCUAACUCCGUG